UCUCUCAAUCGCCCGCUCCACCUCCUCCUCUCCAAUCUCUCACGAUUUCACGGUCUCACCUCCACCACAACCAUCUUGACAUCGUCUUCUCUCAUGGUAAGUCAAUCUCUUGAAUUUGUUUGCAUUUUAUAAAAUUAGGGUUUUAAUUUUUAGAUUCAAAUUGGGAUUGGAAUUGGGGUUUCUCUGAAAUUCAAAUCUCUUUCGGUAUAAUUUUUUUUCUUGUGAGGUGAUUUCUGAUUGUGCAUAACUGUAACCCUUUAGGACCGUAGAACUUGUAGUUCAAGCAGCCUUAACUUAAGUGUUUCUAUCUGGGAUAACUUGUAGUUCCUGGUUAGGUUUAUGUUGCUCGCCAAAACAGAACUAAUUGAGGUUUUGCAUGAGCAAUCAAACAACAUACAGAUUGUGGGAGUUAAAUUUAUUUAGUUAUUUCUCCUUAGUAUUUCUUUGUGUGAUGAAUUUGCAGUACAAUUGUUUGUAAUGUAAUGGGGCUGCUGUCAAUUUAUUUGUCAUUGUCUAUUUAUUUGUCAUUGUCAAUUUAGUAUUUCUUUGUGUGAUGACUAUGCAGUACGAUUGUUUGUAAUGUAAUGGGGCUGCUGCCAAUUUAUUUGUCAUUGUCAAUUUAGUAUUUCUUUGUGUGAUGACUGCUGCCAAUUUAUUUAGUUAUGGAAUCGGAUGGUUUUGAGUAUCUCAUUAUUUGUAAUGUAAUGGGGCUGCUGCCACAGAACCAAAUCAAUCCCAUCAUUUGUAAUGUAAAUAUUGGUGUGAUGACUAUGCAGUACGAUUGUUUGUAAUGUAAUGGGGUUGCUGUCAUUAUUUUUUUGGACAUAAUGAUUCACAAAUUGAUAUUUUUGUAUUGAUUGGAUGCAGGCUUCGGACCGUGUAGAUUCUAUAGAUGAUGCAAUUGAUUUGGAAUAUGAAUCGGGGGGAAGCAAAUGUGAGGCCGAAAGUGAAGGAGAUCAAGAGGAGGUAAGUGUCUCCCAACUCCUACAGGGUAAACGUAGUAAGGUUUGGGAGCAUUUUAGGCCUUAUCAAGUUAAGACCCUAAUAAGCCUCAAGGAUCGAGAAGGGAAUGUUGUAAAAGAUGAAAAUGAUGAACUGGUAAUGGUUCCACAUGUAAGACUUAGGGCUAAAUGUGUCUAUUGCCCGGAACAUACAAAUGAUGGUGACUAUGCGGCUGAUUCAAGCACUAAUGAUACAUCUGGAAUGAGAAAACAUCUUAAUCGACAAUGUAAAUAUUAUCAUGCCAACUUAAGGAAAAAUCAAAAACUUCUUUAUGAGGAGAAGAAAGGGGGUAAAACUUUGGUUAAUAGGGAGUUUAACCAAUCCGAUUGUUUGGAAGCAUAUGUGGAGAUGAUUGUUCUUGAUGAGGUACCCUUUAGUACCGUAGAAAAGAUAGGGUUCAAUAGAUUUUGUAGUGUUGCAUGUCCAUUAUUUCGUGUGCCUUUUAGGAGGACUCUUGUUAGAACUUUCCUUAGAAUGUAUGCACAAUCUAAGGAUAGUUUGAAAAAGGAAUUGCAUGCGCACCGAAUUUCUCUUACCAUCGACACUUGGACAAGCACUCAAAACAUCAAUUAUAUGGUUCUCACCGCACACUUUAUUGAUGAUGAAUGGAAUAUGCAUAAGAGGAUCAUUAAUUUUUGUCUUAUUGCUAACCACACGGGAGCCACAAUAGCUAAGUUGAUUGAAACUUGUUUGUUGGAAUGGGGCAUAGAUAAAGUGCUCACCAUCACGGUGGACAAUGCUUCCGCAAAUAAAGUUGCAUUGGAUCAACUUAGGUCAACGAUGAAUAGGUGGGAAAAUUCACAAGCCAUUUUGCAUGGGGAGUAUUUACAUGUGAGGUGUGUCGCUCACAUAACCAAUUUAAUUGUGGGUCAAGGGAUGAAAAGGCUAACCAAAUGCCUCUUAGCCAUAAGAAAUUGUGUGAGAUUUGUGAGGAGCUCUGCACAAAGGUUAGAGUAUUUCAAGCAAGCCGUGUUUAUGGAGAAGUUAACAUGUAAAGCAAGUGUUUGCUUAGAUUGCUCCACAAGAUGGAAUUCCACAUUUCAUAUGUUGAAAGUAGCCAUAAAGUUUAAGAAGGUCUUUGCUAGGAUGGGGGAGGAAAGUGAUACUCCUUUUAGUGUGUAUUUCAAAGAAUUUGAAAAAGGAUGAAGAUGGAAUAGUAGUUAUUAAAGGUCAAAGAAGGGUUGGACCACCAACUGGAGAAGAUUGGGAAAAGGCGGAGGUGUUUGUUCGGUUUUUGCGGGUUUUUUAUGAGGUGACAUUACGGGUGAGUCAUUCUUUGAUCCCCACGGCUCAUACCGCUCUCCAUGAUGUUAUCAAAAUAGAGACGGCUAUCAAGAAUUUGGUUCCCCCACCCAAUGUGCAAACUGGUUCACCAAUAGAGGUACUUUUAAAGCAAAUGGCAACCGACAUGAGAGCAAAGCAUGACAAAUAUUUUGGUUCUUACCUUCAAUUGAACAAUUUGCUAGUGGUUGCUCUUAUUUUAAAUCCAAGGUUCAAGUUAAGGCAUGUCACUCACCUCCUUAAAAAGCAAUUAUUGGAAGUUGAUGUACAUUUGAAAACUAAGGAGAUAAGAGAUGUGUUGGAUGCCCUUUACAAAGAAUAUGCCCCAAGGGUUGAUGGGGGGAAGCACAUGAAGGUCCCCACACCUCCUCGAGAGCCUUCUUCUACUUCACGUGUUGUUGAAUCCUUUGAAGAUGAUUGUGUAGAUGAUUGGAUUGAUUUUGUAGAAGAGAGUGAGGAGCAAGUGGUGGGAGAUAAGGUGGAUUCAUAUUUGUUGGAUCCUUUGGAGAAGGUGGGCAAAGAAACCAAGGGUGUUUUUAAAAUUCUUUCAUGGUGGAAGACUAAUGGUUGCAAAUAUCCUAUAUUGGCGGCCAUUGCAAAAGACAUAUUUGCUAUUCAAGCAUCUACCGUGGCUUCGGAGAGUGCUUUUAGUACCGGGGGGGGAGUAAUUUCGGAUUUUAGGAGUUCUUUAACUCCUAAAUCGGUGGAGGCCUUAAUUUGCAUGCAUAAUUGGAUGAGAGGUGAUGGUAUUAUCACCUUAGAAGAUGAUGCACCUUCGUUGGAGCACUUAGAGUUCUACGAAAGUAUUGAAGUGGGUAAUUUCUUAUUUCUCUUCUUAGUUCUUGUUUGUUAUAAUUUUUUAGAUUUUAUUCUUUGUAUUUACAAGUUGUCUAUAUUUUUGUACUAUUGUAGAGUUGUUGACAUCAAGCAUCUCUUCUCUCUCAAUUAAUAAUCCGGAAUAACAAGCGUCAUCUUCACAACCUCUUACCCGACCUUCUCAAGCAUCCGCUUCACAAGCUUCUACCCGACCUCCUCGAGCUUCAAAAGGUGCUCAAUCAAAGGUCCCUUCAAAGCCUCACAUACCUCUAACCAAGGGUGUCAAGCGUAAGGCCCCUAAAGGGUAAUUGCUUUUAUUUUAUAUGAAUUGAACUUAUUAGUUAUUAAGGCAUUUAGUUUGAUGUUUGCUAUUACAUUUGGGUUGUAUUAAUGCCAUAAGGCUUUGACUUGAACUUUGAUUUUUCCUUUUGGUUUGUACUAAUGCCAUAAGGCAUUUACUUGAACUUUGUUGUUGGAUUGAAUUUGUUUAUGUUUGAUGUUGUUGAAUUUAAUUUUUUGAUGUUUGAUGUUGUCGGAUUGAAUUGUUGAUGGGAUUGAAUUUUUUGGAUGUUUUCCCC
rnacentral:lncRNA from 1 species